CUGCAAAUAAUUCAAUCUGUUGUCCUAAUUUCUUAAUAAAAAAUUGGAAAACAUGUUAUUUUUUCAGCAUUUACCAGUAAAAUACCUUGGUCAAGCUGCUGUAUGAAUGGCAUCUGGAAACUUCCUGGUGUGAAGAGAGGUCACACUAGCUGAAGCUGCCUUCCAGUAGGAGAUCUGUUUCCUCCAGGAAGAGAAAAGGAAAGUUUGAAAGCUACUGUGCUAGUCACUUGGCCUAUUCAUAAAUACUAUGUUCUUCUCCUAUUUGGCACGUGCCAGGAUUGCCCUUCCUUCCCUCCUUUAGAGGGGGUGUAGCCCUGUGACUUGUUUUGGGCAAUGAAAUAUGAGUUACAUGAUGUGUAAUGACCAAGUGCUCAUAAUUGCCCCUAACGAACCCAUCAGCUUGGGUUGACUAAACUUUAGUCAGCCUUCUCUCCUCCCCACGGGCCUCUGAUCUGUGGCUCGCCCACAAGGCUAAGCAAGCACUAAGGUGCAGAAUACGCUCCCCACCCCGCUACCCCCUUAGCAGCUCAUUCUGAAAAUCGCCCCCGACAGGGAAGAGCAUUUCCUGUUGGGCCACCACAAUUAUGCUAUUUGCUGGUCCCCACUGAUUAUCCCCUUCCCCAGCAAGGUUCCUGCUAGCCCUGCUUAACUCCCCCUGUAAAAAGAAAAGCCUUUUUCUGCUCAAUUUUGAGACACUUAUAGACCCUACGUUGGGAACAGAGAACGCUCUAUUGCAACAGUCAUCUUGAAAAAAAUCUCUUCUCGGUUAUAUCUGGAUUUGCUUUUUGUUUGACAGUAACUUCCGGGCAGAAGUUUUAAGAGUCAAGGAGCAAUAAAAUUGCAUAGGAUUUGGAGUGAUGAAAGAAGGCAGCAGGAUAACAGUGAAACUGAGACUCCUUGAAGACUCUUCAAUAUAACAUCUAGAAAUUAAGUUUGAUUCAUAAGAUUAUCAUUAAAAAUGAACUCGAGUACUUGUCUUCAUUCUAUGGGAAAAGUGGGUUCAACUCUGUCCUCAAAGAAGAGGCCCUCGGCUCUCUUCUUCUCCUCCAGUACAGCUUGUUUCAAAAGAAGAAACCAACUCUUGGGGUAAAUCAUCGUCACUCAUCAGCUCGAGAAAGCCGUCAAUAAAGCAUUGCUAAUGGGAAGAAAUGCCA
rnacentral:lncRNA from 1 species